rnacentral:lncRNA from 1 species
AGAAGCCACCUCCCCGCCUCGCACCCCUAGACCAACUGGCGAGAUUCACGCUGCGUUUGGCGCGUGUGCUGCCAGCCCUGCCCGGGCGCGGGCAGUAGGCCUGGUCACUUCCGGAAGAAGGAGAAGGACUCUCUCUUUGCCCUCUGGGUGCGUCUGUGAUGUGCGGUGUUCACGGGAGCAGGGGUCAGUCUUGGGGUAAAAAGAUCUGCGGGAGAUAAGACAGGCAGGUGAGCGUUCUGGCCCAGGCAGCGCCUGCCCUUCUGGGCCCUUCCAGGAUGGGCCACCCUGCGGCUUGGUCCCCUCCCGGUGGGCGUGGGGGGCACUGCCCUGCCUGGCCCCAGCCUGGGGCCCCGUGGAGGCCUCUCCCUGCGGAGGCGGAGCUAAACCUCACCUGUUUGCAGCCAGCCCUCUGCCACCGCAAGCUGGUUGCAGGUCUGGCCGUGUUAGUGGGAAGCUGACAAAAGGCUUUUCUGAAGAUAAGCGUGUGUACCAGCGCCACAGUCUUGUAGGCCUGGCGCGGGCGCCUGCCAACCUGGACACUGCCGAGGGGCGUGUGGCAGGGCCCGUGUCCUGGCCAUGCAGCAUCUGUGCACAAGCGGGUCCUUGACCUGCUCAGGGGCACUUGGCUCCUCUUGGCGUCUCUGUCCUCGAGUCUGUCCCAGAGCGUGGAUGCUUCCUGUCUGACAGGGUGGCGGUGUGCAAGGAGGAGCCCCCCGCUGACCACGGACCCACUGGACCUCUGAGCGGCCAGGGCUCAGGUGUCCUUGGGCUGCCCUGAUGGUCCGUGGGACAGCUGGAGGGGCCGUUCCUGGGACACAGAAGCCCUGACACCCCCCCACCUCCCACAGUGUCCCCCCCUUUCCAUCCCUGACCCUCUGGAUCUGCUCAGCACCCCCUCCCCAUGUCCUUAGCCCACGGGGACUUCACUCGGACCCCUCCCCUGGGCUUGGGGUCUGGAGAUUCCACGCCCGGGUCCUGUGCUUGUCCAGCGUGUGUCCUGGGGCCCUGGAUCUGACUCGCAUCUCGCCGAGCCCGGCUCCAUCCCUGUGCACUGACCUGGCUCUCUCGACCCCUCUGUCCACAGGGUCCCCCUGGACGCCCGGGCCUUCCUGGGGCCGACGGGCUGCCCGGCCCUCCUGGAACCAUGCUCAUGCUGCCUUUCCGGUUUGGAGGGGGCGGCGAUGCAGGCUCCAAAGGACCCAUGGUCUCAGCGCAGGAGUCCCAAGCUCAAGCCAUCCUCCAGCAGGCUCGGGUGAGUGGGGCCUGGGGAUGGGGGGACAGAGCCCAGCCCCUUGGGGCUCGGUGUCCAGC